rnacentral:rRNA from 1 species
CAAGUCGAACGCGAAAGUUCCCUUCGGGGAGCAAGUAGAGUGGCGCACGGGUGAGUAACACGUAGGUAAUCUACCUUUGGAUUGGGAAUAACAACCGGAAACGGUUGCUAAUACCGAAUAAUGCAGCGGCACCUAAUGGUGACAGUCGUUAAAGCGGGGGAUCGCAAGACCUCGCGUCUAAAGAGGAGCCUGCGGCGGAUUAGCUAGUUGGUAAGGUAAUGGCUUACCAAGGCGAUGAUCCGUAGCCGGCCUGAGAGGGCGGUCGGCCACACUGACACUGACAUACGGGUCAGACUCCUACGGGAGGCAGCAGUCGGGAAUUUUGGGCAAUGGGCGAAAGCCUGACCCAGCAACGCCGCGUGAAGGAUGAAAUCCCUCGGGAUGUAAACUUCGCAAGAACGGGAAGAAUAAACCGGUGUGAACACCACCGGCGAUGACGGUACUGUUUGUAAGCUCCGGCUAACUCCGUGCCAGCAGCCGCGGUAAUACGGGGGGAGCAAGCGUUGUUCGGAUUUACUGGGCGUAAAGGGCGCGUAGGCGGCCACCGCAAGUCGGUUGUGAAAUCUCCGGGCUUAACCCGGAAAGGUCAACUGAUACUGCGGGGCUAGAGUGCAGAAGGGGCAACUGGAAUUCUCGGUGUAGCGGUGAAAUGCGUAGAUAUCGAGAGGAACACCUGCGGCGAAGGCGGGUUGCUGGGCUGACACUGACGCUGAAGUGCGAAAGCUAGGGGAGCGAACGGGAUUAGAUACCCCGGUAGUCCUAGCCUUAAACGAUGAAUGCUUGGUGUCUGGGGUUUUAUAGUCCCCGGGUGCCGUCGCUAACGCUUUAAGCAUUCCGCCUGGGGAGUACGGUCGCAAGACUGAAACUCAAAGGAAUUGACGGGGACCCGCACAAGCGGUGGA